ACGCUGGCGGCGUGCUUAACACAUGCAAGUCGAACGGAAAGGCCCUGCUUUUGUGGGGUGCUCGAGUGGCGAACGGGUGAGUAACACGUGAGUAACCUGCCCUUGACUUUGGGAUAACUUCAGGAAACUGGGGCUAAUACCGGAUAGGAGCUCCUGCUGCAUGGUGGGGGUUGGAAAGUUUCGGCGGUUGGGGAUGACUCGCGGCUUAUCAGCUUGUUGGUGGGGUAGUGGCUUACCAAGGCUUUGACGGGUAGCCGGCCUGAGAGGGUGACCGGCCACAUUGGGACUGAGAUACGGCCCAGACUCCUACGGGAGGCAGCAGUGGGGAAUAUUGCACAAUGGGCGGAAGCCUGAUGCAGCAACGCCGCGUGCGGGAUGACGGCCUUCGGGUUGUAAACCGCUUUCGCCUGUGACGAAGCGUGAGUGACGGUAAUGGGUAAAGAAGCACCGGCUAACUACGUGCCAGCAGCCACGGUGAUACGUAGGGUGCGAGCGUUGUCCGGAUUUAUUGGGCGUAAAGGGCUCGUAGGUGGUUGAUCGCGUCGGAAGUGUAAUCUUGGGGCUUAACCCUGAGCGUGCUUUCGAUACGGGUUGACUUGAGGAAGGUAGGGGAGAAUGGAAUUCCUGGUGGAGCGGUGGAAUGCGCAGAUAUCAGGAGGAACACCAGUGGCGAAGGCGGUUCUCUGGGCCUUUCCUGACGCUGAGGAGCGAAAGCGUGGGGAGCGAACAGGCUUAGAUACCCUGGUAGUCCACGCUGUAAACGGUGGGUACUAGGUGUGGGGUCCAUUCCACGGGUUCCGUGCCGUAGCUAACGCUUUAAGUACCCCGCCUGGGGAGUACGGCCGCAAGGCUAAAACUCAAAGGAAUUGACGGGGCCCCGCACAAGCGGCGGAGCAUGCGGAUUAAUUCGAUGCAACGCGUAGAACCUUACCUGGGUUUGACAUGGAUCGGGAGUGCUCAGAGAUGGGUGUGCCUCUUUUGGGGUCGGUUCACAGGUGGUGCAUGGCUGUCGUCAGCUCGUGUCGUGAGAUGUUGGGUUAAGUCCCGCAACGAGCGCAACCCUUGUUCACUGUUGCCAGCACGUUAUGGUGGGGACUCAGUGGAGACCGCCGGGGUCAACUCGGAGGAAGGUGGGGAUGACGUCAAGUCAUCAUGCCCCUUAUGUCCAGGGCUUCACGCAUGCUACAAUGGCUGGUACAGAGAGUGGCGAGCCUGUGAGGGUGAGCGAAUCUCGGAAAGCCGGUCUCAGUUCGGAUUGGGGUCUGCAACUCGACCUCAUGAAGUCGGAGUCGCUAGUAAUCGCAGAUCAGCAACGCUGCGGUGAAUACGUUCCCGGGGCUUGUACACACCGCCCGUCAAGUCAUGAAAGUUGGUAACACCCGAAGCCGGUGGCCUAACCGUUGUGGGGGAGCCGUCGAAGGUGGGACUGGUGAUUAGGACU
rnacentral:rRNA from 1 species